GAGAGAUCAACUAACAAGUUGUCAUAGUCAUCAACCCACCCAUAAGCAGUAUUCAACACCCCCUUUCUCUCUCUCUCCCUCCCUCUCUCGUGUGUACCUCCCACAACAUCAUGGAUACCACUCGACAAGUUCUCCCAGCUACUUGAGAGAGGAGGUGUUCGAGUGGCUUGACUUAUGAGCUUUAUAAGUCCCAAACGGAGCUCGAGUACAACUUGCGAACGACCUUCGAAACUACCCGGAGUCACCCCUCAAGCAGCUGUUUCAACGGCCCGUUGUCCUCCGUCUACCCGCUCAGUUUCGCACCUACUUCGUUCACUCUGUCGACCAGCAGCUAUAACUUCUGACCCAGCUAGGUUUCGAAGCUUCUUCCUUGUUCCUGCUUGGCCUAUUACCUUCAAAUCUUCUUGGCCUCUUACUUUCAAAUCUUCUUCUUCUAUAGUACUGUUUACUACUUUAUAACGUUCUAAAGUGCUGGGUCUAGCUGCUCCGCACACUCGAUACGUGUUCCAUGCUUGAACAGUUAUUUCUCGGACGACUGGGACAGAGCGGACGACUACCGCAUGGGUCGCUGCUUGGGGCGGCUGACGAAGAAGCCCUCUGGGGACAACCGGAACAACCACAGCUACCAGGUUGUGUUCGUUAACACUUCUUCGACUGUCUGUACUUGCGCUCGGACUUCCACCAUAGGUACCAGCCUCGCCGUCCGGAACCAUUCUGAUGAGAACGGUUCUCCUAAAUACUUCUUGAAGUUCCCGUCAAGUGGACGGUCCAAAAGCAGAGACAACCGGUCUCUUGUGGCCACUCAUGGCGAGAUUACCUAUAUGAGGCAGUUCAUUUCGCCCAUCAGGGCGGUUUUUAUUUCCUUCUUGUAUUCCGUUUCUGCUUCCGCUUCCGCUUCCACUUCUGCUUCUGCUGUAGAGCACCGUAGGUUCGGUAGUAGUGACUAGAGGCUCCUACGGAAGCGUGUCUUUCCAUAGAGUAGUAUUAGCUACCGCAUACCUCAUGCACCCUGACCUUUCAUUAGUUAACACGAAAUGGUCUUUUAAUGGAAUCUUCAUCCCAUAAUUGUUGUUGAACGUCGUACUCACAUCGGGUUAGGACGAGAAAUUUAGGGUCACUUUAGUAGGUCCACUUCCGAGAAUCGUCUCAGUUGAGACUCUUUUAUGAUUUCCCUUACAAACUACACUUAGGAGGAUCGCCUUACCUCAGGUUCCUUUAUAAACUACCUCUCCGUCUACUGUACAACUUUUAGACACCACCACACGGUGACCGUUAUUAAUAACAUAGUCCGAAUAAUAGGACCUUUAGUCGUUUUGACCGUCUCGGGUUCUACGAACCAUUUAGUCUAACGUCCAGUCUUCGCUACUGUUUCUAUAACACGUACUCAAUACUACUGAAUAGCCACGGUGACGUCAGAACGAAGGACAUGAACUCACAAAAAGGGCUUCCAAUAUAGUAGUUCUUUCUAGCGAACUAUGCCGAUACCGCACGACUUCCUAAAUAGGGACCUUCAGAACUUCUUUCGUACACCCGUUGUCCCCUCUCUAUGAAAUUUCUCGACUAGUCAUCCUCCAACUAAGUCGGCCACAACCCGAUGCUUCUACUGGUACGUCACUCAACAUGGCAAGUACUACACCAAGAACUAAAGGACCGUACGAACCGUUCGUUUCUCUUAAAACAAUGUCACCCACGUCUCGAUUUCGGGCACGCUGGUAACCUUCACCGAGACGGUACCAGCGAGUACCUCUCUCGCCAACGGCCCAACUGCGGGCUUGGUAAAAACACAAUGCUUUGCCAAGCCGCUAACAGCGAGGUCACGACACAACUUCCGUCUAGACUGUUGAACCACAGUUCGUUACACGUGGAUACAUCUCACGCUAGUGAGGAUCGAAAACCCCGGAGAUUACCCAAUGGACUAGAAGCCCGGAAGUUUGAAUAGUCUCAUAACCUAGACCUUCCAAGAUUCUCAUGUAGUAUAAAAUAUUAACCUUCAAACAAGGAUGACUCUAUGAACCCUGAAUUUCCCUGAUCUUAGGCAUCGUUCCUGUAUCUCUCUUACCCUCUUAAGCUAGUGGACGUUUGUAACCUAUAUUCCGCUUGGCCACACGUUCCCAACGGAUAAGCAUACCUAGCUUACGGUUUGGAUCACAGAUACGAACCACUACCAGACUGUAAACGAGGACAGCUGAACCUCCUAGUACGGUAUACAAGGAUACUACUCGUACAGGUUUUGAACCUCCUUGACAGGUGGUAACUAUAAUGACUGCUUUCCAGCGCACUACUACACCGUUGUAACGACAAAUCCAGCUUCUUCGAUUCCUACGAACCACACUCUCGAUUAUCUCCACCGUUAUGUGUACCACAAUAUGGAAAGGAAUUACUCGAGGCUUUUAUAUUGGAGCUCAGUGAGUAGUAACUUUCACUGGACACGCCAGACCUACUUACCCUCGGUACCGGACUCGAGGCUUCUAAACUUGACUGUUUUGAGGAGGGUGCCCAAGGUCUCUCAACCCGGAGUGACCUGUCGGAGUGGGUGAACCUAAAACGUUAAGCAUUUUAGCUUCGUUGCCUACAAGAACAGGAACCACUUAACGGGUUCGAUUGGCAAGAGUUGAACGAUAGUACCCUCGCACUUCCCUCACCUUCGUAACAGUCGUCGCAGCCUAAGGUCUCGGAACUCCACCGGAGCAAGUUCACCGAGAAACCGCCCUACACCGACGUGAAGGUUCUUCCUCGGUACGGGUUCGAGGAGUUCGAAGCCGAGCUCAAGUUGCGACGUCUCUGCUACUACCUCGUACCGUAGCCGUUCAAGGGAACAUUGGAGUGCGUUCAACGACAGUCGUAGUCGACAGUUUUGAGAUGAGUUUGCCUGCACGUCCUACACCUCGCACGGUAGUCUCUGGUUCAUCGAUGGGUGGGAUCUUCACGGUUAGAGAGGAACGUUGACUGUUUUAUACUCCCUGGGCAGUUCUACUUCGGCAGCCUAAUAGGUGUUUCAGGCAGUCGCGAGCACGGCAGAUGUAAAAGGAUUUGAAGAACUCCAGGAGGAGAUAGAUGGGUAGAGUCCAAACGGAUCGAACAACGUGGAUGACAUGCAUGGUUCACGUACGGAGGUACGUAACAGUAAUUAGAAAAUGAUAUUCGGAUAUGAAGCCUCACCAUUUGUUUGAGGAUUGAGAGACAAAAGGAGAAUGUUCAGUCAUUACGAUAUACCACGUAGAC
rnacentral:rRNA from 1 species